rnacentral:rRNA from 1 species
UACGUAGGGUGCGAGCGUUGUCCGGAAUUAUUGGGCGUAAAGGGCUCGUAGGCGGUUUGUCACGUCGGGAGUGAAAACUCGGGGCUUAACCCCGAGCCUGCUUCCGAUACGGGCUGACUAGAGGUAUGCAGGGGAGAACGGAAUUCCUGGUGUAGCGGUGAAAUGCGCAGAUAUCAGGAGGAACACCGGUGGCGAAGGCGGUUCUCUGGGCAUUACCUGACGCUGAGGAGCGAAAGCGGUGGGGAGCGAACAGGAUUAGAACUACCGUGUAGUC